UCUUCCCCUGCAGAUUAGUAGCGCGAGUUCUCAAAUUUAUUCAGUAAGCUGUAAAGGAAACUCUACUUUGGCAGCCGAGCACUUCAUUUUAUCUGUGGACCAGGCAAUUGUGAAUGGCCAUAUCACUAUCUUCAGCGACGCACUUAUCCUGAUGUUUGGCUCUUACUACUGCACGAACAUUUCUUAUCCAGUAGCCCAGGCAGCAACCUUGGAAUUCUUGCAACGAUGCCUUAAGAUAAACCCCGACAAGGGAUCCAAAGUGGAGUGGAACAGUCAAUCCAAAGGUUCUGACGUUGAUCGCCAAAAUUGCGGA